GGUGUGUGACCAGAACGCCUUAAGAGGUCAAUUCAAGCUUGGGCGUGUCAUGAGUGUCAAUCUUGAUGCCCAUGGUAUGGUUCGGGAUGCCAAAAUCAGGACCGUCUCUAGCUGUUGUGUUCCAGUGACGGUACCUGGACAAAACCGACCAACUAAAGUCCUGAGUGGUGACGUCCAUCCAACCAUCCUGCACAGAGAUGUUCGUCGUUUAGUUGUCUUACUCCCGGUUGAAGAACAGGUGGGAGGCUACUAAACCCUGACCGGCAGUUCGCCCAGAGUUGUGUGAUUGUCCCAGCUAUCACCAGGGACAAUCAAGUGGGAGGUGUUUUGGCAAUCUGCCAGUUCAGCUCUUCCUCCUCUGUUGGCUCCGCCCUCCUAGCAGGACAUCAGGUGGAUCUCAUCACUGAUCAGCAGUGUGUGCUUCCACUCUGAUUGUAUAAAAGAGCUAGAGAAGAUCUCUUCUGUAAGCAAAACACUCUGAACCUGUGUGGAAAAAGGAUGCUUAUGGAAAACUGAAGAGGCAGCCGGUUUUUCACCUGAGGAAUUUCAAAAGAAACUGAAGAGAUUUUCAAGGGGAGCAGAAAAGGUUUCCAAAGGAAACUGAAGAGGUUUUCAACAGAGGCUGAAGGGAUUUUCACCUGAAGGAAGCUAAAGUAAAGCUGAGCUAAAGCAAAGGCGAAAGAAACCUGAAGGAACCUUAAAACUGGAGCUGAAGAAAACUGAAGCUAAAGUGAAAACUAAAGGAAAGCUGGAGUGAAGGCUGAAGAAAAGCCAAAGGAAAGUAAAAGGAAAACCAGAAGAAAAACAAA